UUAGGAACUUAUCAUUCAAGAUAGAGCUUCCGUACCAUUAACAUGUCAUCCAUCAUUGAUCUCAAAUCUGCUCUUGAGCUUUUAAAGCCGUCUUAUAGAAAAAAGUGCCAGAAAACCUGGAUGGACUUUAUAGAACAUACUGGAUCUUUAUUAGAUGACAGUGCUCUGCAGGUGAAGAGGAUCUUAUAAAUUACUUCAAAUUUAUCCGAACUGAGAGAAAAAUGGCUUCUUCCUCAAUGUGGGUCCAAUAUAGUCAUGUAAAUGUAGUUCUGAAGAAUCGCUAUGACAAAAAGUUGCAGGGAUUUCCUGGUAUUACUACACUGCUAAAGAGCUACAACACUGAUGUAAAGCAGAGGGCGUCUGUAUUUGAAUCUGAUGACAUUCAGCAGUUCAUUGAACACCCUGAGAACUCACCAUAUUGGCAAGUUAGAAAGGUCAUCAUCAUUCAAGCAUACUUUGAAGGGCUUCGUCAUGUGGAGUUGAUGGACCUUCAAAUUGAGAAGAGGGUGAAAAAGAAUUAUGGUAUGCAAGAAUUAUGUCGUACAGACUAGAUUUAGUUUAUAGAGGAUAAUCAUUUCUAUACGUAAAAACCUCUUCAAUAAAUCAGAAUAAUUCAGUGCAUUCACUGGUAGAGAAAAUACAGCUGUGCAAUAAAUUUGUACAAUAAUUUAUUUCAGUGUAAAAUAACAUAAAAACGACUUUGACCUUUCCAAGAGGGUUGGCGAGGUCGUCAUUGCUCCUAUACAUCAACCUCUCAGGACGCAGAGAGAUGAAGU